GUGUUCCUUUAUUUUCAUCAAGGAUGAUUCUAGCCGCCCGCUUUUUGAGCUUUAGAAGUCGUUGAUGGCAUUCAAUGCUGCAGCUAUCCCAUAUCACACUACCAUACAUGAGAGCUGGUUUAAUAACACCUGAAUACAGGCAUCCCUACCAAGGGAUAAGUUGUUCAUCCUUGAUAAUACAUUUUUCCAUAGUUACUUAUGAAUACUUUCUUGCUCUGGGUACAUCGAUCGCUCUCAUAAAUCAAGGCUCGCGAUUCAUGAUCGAAAACGUGGGUCCAGUCCAAGGAGAGAUUUAUGGCGUAAUUUAUGAAAUGGUGUAUUACCAUUCUCGUAACCAAGCGCUUUAAUUAUUAUAAAGUAGAUCACUAAAUUGGCGCGCAGACGCAUUCAACGCAGCAAUUUAAGGCCGUUUCCAGUACUAAGCAGAAUUUUUCUUUGUCUUGUGAUUUCUCGGGGUGAAAGUAAUUAGAAAAGACAGAAAGAAAUUCCGCUCCGCGCGGAAAAUUCUGCCUAGUGGAAAAAGCCUAAAUAAGCAGCGG